rnacentral:rRNA from 1 species
AUUAAAAACCAAUGCCCUCCGGGGYUCACUGGUGAUUCAUGAUAACUUCUCGAAUCGCAUGGCCUUGCGCCGGCGAUGGUUCAUUCAAAUUUCUUCCCUAUCAACUUUCGAUGUUUGGGUAUUGGCCAAACAUGGUUGCAACGGGUAACGGAGGGUUAGGGCUCGACCCCGGAGAAGGAGCCUGAGAAACGGCUACUACAUCCAAGGAAGGCAGCAGGCGCGCAAAUUACCCAAUCCCGACUCGGGGAGGUAGUGACAAUAAAUACUGAUACAGGGCUCUUUUGGGUCUUGUAAUUGGAAUGAGUACAAUUUAAAUCCCUUAACGAGGAACAAUUGGAGGGCAAGUCUGGUGCCARCAGCCGCGGUAAUUCCAGCUCCAAUAGCGUAUAUUAAAGUUGUUGUGGUUAAAAAGCUCCGUAGUUGAACCUUGGGCCUGGCUGGCCGGUCCGCCUCACCGCGUGUACUGGUCCGGCCGGGCCUUUCCCUCCUGUGGAACCCCAUGCCCUUCACUGGGUGUGGC